GGAAUAUUGGGCAAUGGAGGAAACUCUGACCCAGCGACGCCGCGUGCGGGAUGAAGGCCUUCGGGUUGUAAACCGCUUUCAGUAGGGAAGAAGCGAAAGUGACGGUACCUACAAAAGAAGCACCGGCUAACUAUGUGCCAGCAGCCGCGGUAAUACAUAGGGUGCAAGCGUUGUCCGGAAUUAUUGGGCGUAAAGAGCUCGUAGGUCGUUUGUUACGUCGGAUGUGAAAACCUGAGGCUCAACCUCAGGCCUGCAUUCGAUACGGGCAAACUAGAGUUUGGUAGGGGAGACUGGAAUUCCUGGUGUAGCGGUGGAAUGCGCAGAUAUCAGGAGGAACACCAAUGGCGAAGGCAGGUCUCUGGGCCAAUACUGACACUGAGGAGCGAAAGUCUGGGGAGCGAACAGGAUUAGAUACCCUGGUAGUCCAGACCGUAAACGGUGGGCACUAGUUGUGGGGACCUUCCACGGUUUCUGCGACGCAGCUAACGCAUUAAGUGCCCCGCCUGGGGAGUACGAUCGCAGGAUUAAAACUCAAAUGAAUUGACGG
rnacentral:rRNA from 1 species